rnacentral:rRNA from 1 species
UACGUAGGGGGCAAGCGUUGUCCGGAAUUAUUGGGCGUAAAGAGCGUGUAGGCGGCCAGAUAAGUCCGCUGUGAAAUCUCGAGGCUCAACUUCGAGCUGUCGGUGGAAACUAUCUGGCUAGAGUCCGGAAGAGGAGAAUGGAAUUCCUGGUGUAGCGGUGAAAUGCGCAAGAUAUCAGGAAGAACACCCGUGGCGAAGGCGGUUCUCUGGGACGGUACUGACGCUGAGACGCGAAAGCGUGGGGGAGCGAACAGG